AACGCACCUUGCACCCUUUGGUAUUCCGAAGGGUACACCCGUUUGAGUGUCAUUGUAAUCUCACUUCAACCACUUUUGUGAUGUUGAAUGUGGACUUGGAUGUUGCCGUGUCCAACGGCUCAUCUGAAAUGCUUGAGUGUACCCUGCUUUGCAGCGUAUCAGUGUGAUAAACAUCUUCACUGUUAAGUCUCUAGGGACACGCUAGUGUUGCAGGCUCUAUGCUUCCAACCGUCUCAGGACAAUCUCUGACAAUUUGACCUCAAAUCGGGUGGGACUACCCGCUGAACUUAA
rnacentral:misc_RNA from 1 species